rnacentral:rRNA from 1 species
CAUGUAGGCGGUCUGUCAAGUCUGAUGUGAAAGCCCGGGGCUCAACCCCGGAAGUGCAUUGGAAACUGGCAGACUUGAGUACGGGAGAGGAAAGUGGAAUUUCGAGUGUAGGGGUGAAAUCCGUAGAUAUUCGAAGGAACACCAGUGGCGAAGGCGGCUCUCUGGACCGAUACUGACGCUGAGAUGCGAAAGCGUGGGGAGCAAACAGGAUUAGAUACCCUGGUAGUCC